rnacentral:rRNA from 1 species
UCCAGACUCCUACGGGAGGCAGCAGUGGGGAAUAUUGGGCAAUGGGCGAAAGCCUGACCCAGCGACGCCGCGUGAGGGAAGAAGGUCUUCGGAUUGUAAACCUCUUUCAGCAGGGAGGAAGAAAGUGACGGUACCUGCAGAAGAAGUCACGGCUAACUACGUGCCAGCAGCCGCGGUAAUACGUAGGUGGCGAGCGUUAUCCGGAAUGAUUGGGCGUAAAGGGUGCGUAGGCGGUCGAUUAAGUCUGGAGUGAAAGGUACCGGCUCAACCGGUAUAGGCUCCGGAAACUGAUGGACUGGAGUACAGGAGAGGGUGGCGGAACUCCAUGUGUAGCGGUAAAAUGCGUAGAUAUAGGGAAGAACACCGGUGGCGAAGGCGGCCGCCCGGACUGUAACUGACGCUGAGGCACGAAAGCGUGGGGAGCAAAUAGGAUUAGAUACCCCAGUA